rnacentral:snRNA from 1 species
AUGCUCGCUUCGGCAGCACAUAUACUAAAAAAUUAGAACGAUACAGAGAAGGUUAGCAUUGCCCCGUGCAAGGAUGACACACAAAUUAAUGAAGCGUUCCAUAUUAAA